AAUCAACGCUGGCGGCGUGCCUAACACAUGCAAGUCGCGCGCGAAAGGGGGGCAACUCCCAAGUAGAGCGGCGAACGGGUGAGUAACACGUGGGUAAUCUACCUUCGAGUGGGGAACAACACCGGGAAACUGGUGCUAAUUCCGCAUAACAUCGUCGGGGCUUCGGUUCUGACGCUCAAAGCUGGGGAUCGCAAGACCUAGCGCUUGAAGAUGAGCCCGCGUCCGAUUAGCUAGNGGCGGGGUAAUGGCCCACCAAGGCUUCGAUCGGUAGCCGGCCUGAGAGGGCGGACGGCCACACUGGAACUGAGACACGGUCCAGACUCCUACGGGAGGCAGCAGUGGGGUAAUUUUUCGCAAUGGGGGCAACCCUGACGAAGCAACGCCGCGUGGGGAGUGAAGGUCUUCGGAUUGUAAACCCCUGUCGACUGGGACGAAUGUAGAGCGGCCUAAUACGCCGAGCUAUUGACUGUACCGGUGGAGGAAGCCACGGCUAACUCUGUGCCAGCAGCCGCGGUAAG
rnacentral:rRNA from 1 species